rnacentral:rRNA from 1 species
GCGUCAGUGUGUAUAAGAGACAGCCUACGGGAGGCAGCAGUGGGGAAUCUUGGACAAUGGGCGCAAGCCUGAUCCAGCCAUGCCGCGUGUGUGAAGAAGGCCUUCGGGUUGUAAAGCACUUUCAGUAGGGAGGAAGGCUUUGGGCUAAUACCCUGGAGUACUUGACGUUACCUACAGAAGAAGCACCGGCUAAUUUCGUGCCAGCAGCCGCGGUAAUACGAAAGGUGCGAGCGUUAAUCGGAAUUACUGGGCGUAAAGCGCGCGUAGGUGGUGUGUUAAGUCGGAUGUGAAAGCCCAGGGCUCAAC